rnacentral:sRNA from 1 species
AUGCUGCCACUGAGCUGACCUGCUGGACUUGGGUUGUGGCAGACGGAUGGCGAACGUGCAGGUCGCCGUGCGGGUCCGGCCGCUCAGCAAGAGGGAGACCAAAGAAGGGGGAAGAAUUAUUGUGGAAGUUGAUGGCAAAGUGGCAAAAAUCAGGAAUUUAAAGGUGGACAAUCGAACAGAUGGCUUUGGGGACUCCCGGGAGAAGGUUAUGGCAUUUGGCUUUGAUUACUGCUACUGGUCAGUCAACCCAGAGGAUCCCCAGUAUGCAUCUCAAGAUGUUUUCCAGGAUUUAGGGAUGGAAGUACUGUCUGCAGUUGCCAAAGGCUAUAACAUAUGCCUUUUUGCUUAUGGACAGACAGGCUCUGGGAAGACAUAUACCAUGCUGGGGACCCCAGCCUCUGUUGGGUUGACACCACGGAUAUGUGAGGGUCUCUUCGUCAGGGAGAAAGACUGUGCCUCACUGCCUUCCUCCUGUAGGAUAAAAGUAAGGUAAGAACCUACCAAGCUCUGGGACCUAUAGUAGUUCUCCUUCCACUCCAAAUUCUACCAUGUU